rnacentral:lncRNA from 1 species
UCUGGGUUAAGAAGCUGCCUAUCUUUAGUUAUAUUGAAACUAUCUUUAGAGAAGAAAACUCACACUGGUGGAAGAAGUCUCCGUUUUUUGUUUUUUUUUGAGACAGAGUCUCCCUCUGUCGCCCAGGCUGCAGUGCAAUGGCGCCAUCUCGGCUCGCUGCAAGCUCCGCCUCCUGGGUUCACGCCAUUCUUCCUCCUCAGCCUCUAGAGUAGCUGGGAUUACAGGCGCCCGCCACCACCCCCGGCUACUUUUUUUGUAUUUUUAGUAGAGACGGGGUUUCACCGUGUUAGCCAGGAUGGUCUCGAUCUCCUGACCUAGUGAUCCGCCCGCCUCGACCUCCCACAGUGCUGGGAUGCCCGCCUCGACCUCCCAAAGUGCUGGGAUUACAGGCGUGAGCCACUGCGCCUGGCCGAAGUCUCCAUUUUAUGGACGUUUCUUUCACUUUUCAUCUGGGAGGAGGAAGGGCUAAAUCAGGAGAGGCUUUUACCAUAGAGAAGUACAGAUGAAGGUAGGCUACACAUGAUAGGCCUAUAGAAGAAGGUAGGCCAUCUACAAGCCAAGGAGAAAGGACUUACAUGAAACCAGCCCUGCCAACGCCCUCUAUCUUUACAUGGUCUUCACUCUGUAAUGAAUAAUAAUUUGGGACAUACUCAUCAACUUCCAGGAGUUUGACAGCAUUCAUUUGCCAAACUGUGUUUGGGUGCAAGGUGCCAGAUAUACAAAG